GCCGCCGCCCGCAUACGAUCCCCGCAACGGACCGGGACCCCGUCGCCGCCAAGACCAAAACCCCCCUCGCCACCUCAUCACUGAAGUCAUCACCCCGCCGUAGCCACCCACCAAUACGCCGCAAUUUGGCCCAGGCCACCCAACUCCAAAAUCGCGCAUCGCAUCGCGAGUCGCGACGCGAACCGAGCCCACGAAAUCACGCGACGUCGUCGUCCGAAUCGAAUGCCGCGACCCCGCCGCUGUUGCUGCUGAUGCUCGAUCGCGCGACGGGGGGGCGGCGCCGCGCCGCGGGCGAAGGGAUGGACCAUCGGCCCGACCUGUCCCUCGCCCUCCACCCGCCGCCGCCGCCCGAGGGCUCGUCCGCCGCCGCCGCCGAGGAGGUGGGGGAGGAGGAGGCCGAAGGCGGCGAGGGGCGGUUCUCCCUCAUGGGCCAGCCGCUCUUCCUCAAGCGGCCGCGGCCGCGGCCCCCGCGCCCGCCCCGCGCGCGCGGGGUGGGGGACGACGUCGACGUCGACGUCGACGACGACUCAUCCCCGUGCUGCUCCUCCUCCUGCCUCUCGCCCGCGGCGAAGCGGCGGGCGGCGGCGGGAGGACUCGAGGCGCGCCGCGCGGCCGUGCGCGCGUGGGGAUGCCAGCCGCUCACGGAGGCGGACCCGGACGUGCACGAGCUGAUGGAGCGGGAGCGGCGCCGGCAGGCGGGCGGGGUCGAGCUCAUCGCCUCCGAGAACUACGCCUGCCGCGCGGUGCUCGACGCGCUCGGCAGCCACCUCACCAACAAGUACUCCGAGGGCCUCCCCGGCGCGCGCUACUACUGCGGCAACCAGCACAUCGACGCCAUCGAGCGCCUCUGCUGCGACCGCGCGCUCGCCGCCUUCGGCCUCGACCCGUCGCGCUGGGGCGUCAACGUGCAGCCCUACUCCUGCACCUCCGCCAACUUCGCCGUCUACACGGGGCUCCUCCUCCCCAACGACAGGAUCAUGGGCCUCGACUCGCCGUCCGGCGGCCACGUCAGCCACGGGUACUACACGCCCAGCGGCAAGAAGGUCUCCGGCGCCUCCAUCUUCUUCGAGAACCUCUCCUACAGGGUGAACCCGCACACCGGGUACAUCGAUUACGAUAAGGUAGAGGAGAAGGCCGUGGAUUUCCACCCCAAGAUUCUCAUCUGCGGCGCGAGCUCGUAUCCAAGGGAUUGGGACUAUGCACGGAUGCGGCUUGUUGCUGAUAAGUGCGGCGCAGUACUCAUGUGUGACAUGGCACAAAUCAGUGGUCUUGUGGCAGCGAAGGAAUGUCGAAAUCCCUUUGACUACUGCGAUAUUGUUACUUCAACCACACACAAGAGCUUGAGGGGUCCUAGAGGUGGUAUAAUAUUUUUCAGGAAAGGGAAAAAUCUAAGGAAACGGGUCGGAUCUUUAACUCAAGUGGUUGAAAAUGAUCAGUAUGAUUUUGAGGACCGUAUAAAUUUUGCUGUUUUCCCUUCAAUGCAAGGUGGACCCCACAAUAACCAUAUUGCUGCUCUGGCUAUAGCUCUAAAACAAGUAGCCAUGCCAGAAUUCAAAGCAUACAUUCAACAAGUCAAGAAAAAUGCCCAAGCUUUGGCGAUGGCCUUGCUCAGGAGGAAAUGCAGACUGGUUACUGGUGGCACAGAUAAUCAUUUGAUGCUCUGGGACCUAAGAACAUUUGGCUUGACAGGGAAGAACUUUGAGAAGGUCUGUGAGGCAUGUCAUAUCUCUCUUAAUAAAACACCAAUAUAUGGAGAUAAUGGUUCGAUUUCUCCUGGAGGUGUGCGGAUUGGAACUCCUGCCAUGACAACUAGAGGUUGCUUGGAGAGUGACUUUGAGAUAAUGGCAGAAUUCCUUUUGAGGGCAGCACAUAUAGCAAGUAUUGUUUUGAAGGAGCAUGGAAGGCUUCAGAAGGAUUUUCUGAAAGGUCUGGAGAACAAUAAUGACAUUAUUGAACUCCGGAAUCAGGUGGAGACAUUUGCCUUACAAUUUGCCAUGCCGGGAUUUGAUGUAUAAUAUAUGAGAGCCCUAUAUAUAUUUGCAGCCCUAGGAUGGUUCAGAUAUCAUUUGCAACUUGACACAUGUUUGAACAAAUUGCUACGUGAGAUAAUGUUUCGAAGUUGAUGUCAUCUCUCAUUGCCUUUUCUGCUUAGAUUUGUCUCAUCUUUUCCAUUUCAAGAAGGUAUAUAAUCUUUGUGAGUGAAGUUAUCAUGACUCCUGAACCAAAGGUAAAAAUUAACUUUCUUGCAUGGUUGCAUCUUUAAUUUAGCCUACCAUAGAUUUGUAGAUUCUUUACGGCAAUCAAAUACUAGGUGGUAGUGGCUACUUCCGUGGUACUUUUGAUUGGAGCUGACAUCUCAAUUCCAAGAGUAAUUUUUUUUUUGACUAACUCACCGGGGGGAGAGAUUCCCCACCUGAAUUUGUCAUUGCAUUGAAGAAUGGUUACACAGUUUGAUUCUAUUACAAAGCAUUGAGAGUUUGAAGGGGGGGGGGGGGGGUAGAAAAAAUAGCCUUCCAAGCAGAUAUUACAAAUCUAUCUUCUGGCUUCAAAAUAUCUGCCCAAAGGGCAGCCUCGCUUACACAGCAUUGCAGGCAUGAUUGGAGCGACGGCUCCAUCCCUCUGAAUACAACAUCAUGUCGGUGAUUCCAGAUUGCCCAGAAACAUAGCAGAAACUUGUCGCAAAUGUGCAAGAGAAGAAGAGAUGUGAACCCGUUUCUGGCCCGCUAUUACAGAUGCUGCAAGUGUCUGAUUGAACAAUCUUCUUCUUCAGGAGAUUGUGCUUUGUGGAUAGGCGAUCUCUGGCAAGAAGCCAAGCAAACAGUUUAACUUUCAUAGGCGCUUUGCAAUCCCAAAUCCAAAUCCAGUUCGGAGAAGCUGUUCCAGGAGGCAGCCUGGCUUGAUAGAUCUCCUUAGAUGUCAAGUUUGUCCCCAGGCUUUUCGAAUUUCUUCGAAUGUCCAGUUCAUCAGUACGAGUAAAAUGCUGAAGUAGUUCCUCUAGUUCAAUCAAUUGAAGUCGAGCGGCUUCAGAUAUUCGUGGAACAAUCUCCUGUGAGAUACCUCUGCAUGACAUGUUGGACUGUGGUCUGCUUGUUUUUUAUGUGCGAAAAAAGUGUUGCAAACUGUUCAGCAAGGAUGAUUCCCUCCAGCCACCUGUCAUGCCAGAAGGUGGUUCCAGCUCCAUUUCCAACUUCCACUGUAGUUAGCUCGUGCAGGCAGGGCAGCAGUUUUUGUAGGGAGGCCCAAUGAGGGCCAAGAGGCCUUUGUUUCAUAAGAUAGUUUUCAGAAGGAAUAAGUUCACUUUGUGUCCCUCUAUUUGUCGCCCAGUCCGAUUUUCGUCCCUUGAUCGUAAAACCGGGUAUAACCCGUCCCCCAACUUACAAAAACCGGGUAAACAUAGUUUACUCGGCGGUUUUGAAGGCGGUUUUGGCUGAUGUGGCGUCUACGUGGCUUGUUUGACUAGAUCUUCGUUCCACGUGGCAUUGACGUGACACUCACGUGACAAUUAUAUCUCGGAAAAAUAAUAAAAAGUGUGGCCCCACAUGUCAGCUGCAAAAAAAAAUUUAAAAUGGUGGGGCCCACGUAGGCCCCACAUGUCAGCCUCACUCCUCUCUACUUCCCUUUCCCCCCUCUCUCUCUCUCGCCUUCCCGGGCAGCGAACGGAGCGAGUGGGUGGCGGAACAGGCGAGCUCCGGCGGCGGCGGCGGGCGUGGUCGGCGCCGCCCCCCGACCGGAGCGCUGCCGGUCCGCAUGAAGGCAGGUCCGGGGAGGUCCGGUAGCCGGCGCGGGCGGCGGCGGGAGCGCUGGGCGGCCAGAUGAACGGGGCGGCGGCGGGCAGAGCGGAGCGCGGCGGACGGAGUGGCGGGGCGGGGCGGGUAGAGCAGCGGCGCGAAGCCGAAGGGGCACCAGCCUCAUCGUCGUCGUCUUCCUGCACGCCCUUCUCGGAGUUCUUGGGCACCGCGAGGACGGCGAGGAUAUGCCACCGUCCGUCGUCCGUCGUGUACAUCGCGCUAGGCAGCGAGGUGCCACUGCGCGUGGAUAAGGUCCACGAGCUCGCGCUCGGGCUGGACGUCGCCGGGACGCGCUUCCUGUGGGCUCUGAGGAAGCCCACUGGCGUCUCCGACACCGACCUCCUCCCCGCUGGCUUCGAGGAGCGCUCGUGCGGCCGCGGCGUCGUGGAGACGAGAUGGGUUCCUCAGAUGAGCAUACUGGCGCACGCCGAGAAGGCGUCGCGGCAGCGAUUCGUGCAGUCGCGGUGGAGGUCCUGGAGGAAGAAAGCAGCAAAGCGUUUCAAGCCAAUACCAAGAAGCUGCAGGAGAUCGUCGCGGACAUGGCCUGCCAUGAGAGGUACAUCGACGGAUUCAUUCAGCAAUUGAGAUCUUACAUGGAUUGAACUGAAGCAUCUCAGGAUGUACACCUACAACUACAAAAUCCUUGGAAUAAAAUGAUUUUUGUUUGCAAA